GUCCCAGCCCUAAACGGUGCGCACUUGGUGUGGGGAGAAUUGACCCUCUCUGUACCGAAGCUGACGCGGUAAGUGCGCCGCCUGGGGAGUACGGUCGCAAGAUUAAAACUCAAAGAAAUUGACGGGGCCCGCACAAGCGGAGGAGCAUGUGGCUCAAUUCGAUGCAACGCGAAGAACCUUACCAGGGCUUGACAUGUAACUGCAGGCCCCGCGAAAGCGGGGCGGCCUUCGAGGGUGUUACACAGGUGCUGCAUGGCUGUCGU
rnacentral:rRNA from 1 species